GUUGAACGCUGGCGGCAGGCUUAACACAUGCAAGUCGAGCGGGGUGAUGGUGCUUGCACUAUCACUUAGCGGCGGACGGGUGAGUAAUGCUUAGGAAUCUGCCUAUUAGUGGGGGACAACAUCUCGAAAGGGAUGCUAAUACCGCAUACGUCCUACGGGAGAAAGCAGGGGAUCACUUGUGACCUUGCGCUAAUAGAUGAGCCUAAGUCGGAUUAGCUAGUUGGUGGGGUAAAGGCCUACCAAGGCGACGAUCUGUAGCGGGUCUGGGAGGAGGAGCCGGCACCCUGUGACGGAGACACGGCCCCGACUCCUAGAGGAGGCAGCAGUAGGGAAUAUUGGACAAUGGGGGGAACCCUGAUCCAGCCAUGCCGCGUGUGUGAAGAAGGCCUUUUGGUUGUAAAGCACUGUAAGCGAGGAGGAGGCUCUUUUGGUUAAUACCCAAGAUGAGUGGACGUUACUCGCAGAAUAAGCACCGGCUAACUCUGUGCCAGCAGCCGCGGUAA
rnacentral:rRNA from 1 species